rnacentral:tRNA from 1 species
ACCCGGCUAGCUCAAUCGGUAGAGCGUGAGACUCUUAAUCUCAAGGUUGUGGGACCCCCACGUCAGGCU